GUAAUACCAGGAACAGCUGGGAAGGGUCCAAACCAAGAACACAAUGGUAUCCUAAUAAUACUGAUCGUCACACUCCAUCUACGUCAGUCUCAAUCCUCAGAGCAGGGUGCUGGGGAGAUGGCUUGGUGGUUGAAACUCUUGCUUGUAAGGAUCCUCAGAAUCCACAGGAAUGCCAGAGGAGUGUCAAUCACUAAUAACUACGCCCCUAGGAGAAAGCUCAGAAGGAUUCCAGAACAAUCCUCGCGCACAAAUACCACACAGCUUGCUGAGGGAAGCAAGGCUUGUUCUCCCUGCUAUUCUCGCCAACUGAGCCCUUUUUCUAAGCCUCAUCUCAUGCUACCCCCUAACCCAAGCCAUGAAGGACUGGGUUAUAAACGGGAAUUUCUCUACAAAUAGGUCAGGGGCCAAUGAUGUCAAAAUCACAUCGUGGGGACAGGUGUUGUCUAGACAGAUCGACCCCUGUUAUGGGAUGCUUUUCCUGAGGAGAUGUGACAUAUAUGUCUGUUCACCUCAGACAUGAAACUGAUGACAUACUAAAGUGAUGAUACUACCUGUGGUGCUCUGUAUACACCUAGCGCAUUGGAAGGUGUGGCCUCAUUGGAACAGAUGUGGCCUUGUUAGAGGAAAUGCAUCACUGUGCGGUGGACUUUGAGGUCCUAUGUUCAAGCUCCACCCAAUGUGGAAGAGAUCUCCUCCUGGCUGCCUGCAGAAGACAGUUUCCUCCUGGCUGCCUUUGGAUCAAGAUGUAAACUUGUCUGCUCCUUCUCCAGCACCAUGUCAUCCUGGAUUCUGCCAUGUUUCUUGCCAUGAUGAUAAUGGACUGAACCUCUGAAACUGUAAGCCCACCCCAAUUAAAUGUUGUUCUUCAUAAAAAGCUGCCUUGAUCAUGGUGUCUCUUCACAGCAACAGCAAUGAAACCCUAAACGAAGACACUACUAAAGCCCAGCUUAGUAAACCAAUGAGUUUAUUUGGAUUCCUUAUUAAAGUAAGGAUGAUUUAAAGGCAGUUCCAUUACCAAACUCUGACUCCUGGGCAAUAGCUGGUGAGAACUGGAACCUUGGAGGUCUCUGCACAAUUUGCAGGCACUUGGACAGAGUAAGGAGUAUGUUCUAGGCAGCUCAGCUUCUCUGAGUCUCCUAGGCAGCCCUUAUUGCUUAGGUAACUCUAGAGAGGAGGCCUCAUGUGUCUUGUCAGUUUCAGGGACUUCCUGUGGUUUACUUGAUAUUGACUUCCAUUAUGUAGCAUCCCUGUAAAACUCCCCCAGUUUUAACAAACUUCCCUCCAAAUGGAACGUUUCAAAUUGCUAUAGACCCUAUAGGUUCUCAUUUUAGGGUAAAGUUCACUAAGGAUGAUGUGUUCCUAAGCUUCUAAUAGUUCUUCUCUGAAGGUCAAAGGGAUUGAUUCAGAAGUUCCAAUGAGAGUCAGUUAAUAC
rnacentral:lncRNA from 1 species